rnacentral:rRNA from 1 species
AUGCUGGGGGCUAGGAGAUCGUUCUCUAGGCUCGCCGCGGCGGUUAGGACGCCGGUGGACGUGCCGAGAAUGCCGGCGUUCGACCACGUGCCGCUGCCCUACGACGGGCCGAGCGCCGUCGAGAUCGCCAGGAAGCGCGCCGAGUUCCUCAGCCCCUCCCUGUUCCAUUUCUACUCCAAGCCCCUCAACAUUGUGGAGGGGAAGAAACAGUACCUCUACGACGAGCACGGGCGGCGCUACCUGGACGCGUUCGCCGGCAUCGCCACCGUGUGCUGCGGCCACACCCACCCCGAAAUCAUCGACGCCAUCACCGCGCAGGCCAACCUCCUGCAGCACUCCACCGUGCUCUACCUCAACCACGCCAUCGCAGACUUCGCCGAGGCGCUGGCCGCCAAGAUGCCCGGCGAUCUCAAGGUCGUCUUCUUCACCAACUCCGGCACGGAGGCCAACGAACUGGCCAUGAUGAUGGCUCGGCUGUACACCGGCUCCCACGAUAUCAUAUCUCUCCGCAACUCCUACCACGGCAACGCCUCCGGCACCAUGGGUGCCACCGCACAGAAGAACUGGAAGUUCAAUGUUGUUCAGAGCGGCGUGCACCAUGCCGUUAACCCGGACCCCUACAGAGGCGCCUUCGGCUCGGACGGCGAGAAGUACGCGCGAGACGUCAAGGAGAUCAUCGACUUCGGUACCACGGGCCACGUCGCCGGCUUCAUAUCCGAAGCUAUCCAGGGUGUUGGUGGGAUCGUGGAGGUGGCGCCUGGCUACCUGCCCCUGGCGUACGACGCCGUGAGGAAGGCCGGCGGCCUCUGCAUCGCCGACGAGGUCCAGGCGGGCUUCGCGCGCGUCGGCAGCCACUUCUGGGGGUUCGAGACCCAUGACGUGAUCCCUGACAUAGUGACCAUGGCAAAGGGCAUCGGCAACGGCAUCCCUCUGGGCGCCGUGGUGACUACGCCGGAGAUCGCGCAGGUCCUGACCAGGCGGUCCUACUUCAACACGUUCGGCGGCAACCCGUUGUGCACGGCCGGUGGGCUCGCCGUCCUCAAGGUGCUCGACAUGGAGAGGCUCCAGGAGAACGCCUUCAUCGUCGGCGCCUACCUCAAAGACCGCCUCCGCGGCCUCCAGGAGAAGCACCAAAUCAUCGGCGACGUGAGGGGAACAGGUUUCAUGCUUGGCGUCGAGCUUGUGACCGACCGGCAGCUCAAGACCCCGGCCAAAGACGAGAUUUGCCAGGCCAUGGAGCACAUGAAAGAUAUGGGCGUUUUGGUCGGAAAGGGGGGCUUUUACGGCAACGUGUUCAGAAUCACUCCCCCUCUGUGCUUCACCAAGGAAGACGCUGAUUUCUUCGUCGAUGUGAUGGACAUAGCGCUGUCAAAGCUCUGA